rnacentral:ncRNA from 1 species
AUCUUUGGGGCGGGGCGAAAUUCCCCACCGGCAGUAUAGUCUGCGAGCCGAUUUUUCGGUUGACGGGGUGCGAUUCCCCGACCGACGGUAUAGUCCGGAUGUGAAAAGAUA